UAAAAUAAAACUUUCGAUAUUUCUUAACAAUAUGCACAAUAGAAACAUUGAAAGGUUUCUAAAUGAGACUAGUUUCCCUCAUCUAAAUAAAAAUAGCAUUUUUAGAAAUGGAAAAGGUUUUUUUUGUAUCUCUUGUAUUUUCAAAAUGAAGGGAGGGAAAAAGUUAAAACUAAAAAAUUUUCAAGUUAGGCAAGGAAUUUGCCCUUAUAAAUUAGUCCAAUAGUGCCAAAAUGGGAUCUUUUUAUGAGGACGUUGACAUUUAUUUAUUAAAAAAUUUGAAAUCGAUUGGGGAUGUUGAUAGCAAACAACAUUUAGAAAAAUCACAAUAUUUAUUGAGAGUUCCUUCCAUCUUUUCUCGAGAUAUGGUUCCUAUCAUUGACUCUUAUGCUCAGAAAGUCAAGAAAGUCGAUUCAGAUGAAAAUCAUGCCUGGCCGAAUAAUGUAGGAAAUUCUACAAGCGAUUGCAAGAAUUUGUAUCCAUUCGGAGAUAUUGACGGCAAAUAGUGUUCAGCACAAUGGCAGCAUCCAUUGGAAAUUACUUCAACCUCUUCCCAAAAUGUGGAUUAUAUCGCUGACUCCUGUAAUCAAAAAGCUAAAACAGUCUACUCGAUGGAAAUUCCGCAAUCCUGUAUGGAUUUCCUCUCAAGGAUUUCUUCAACUUUUAUUUCAAACAACUGUCUUUCAUAUGAUCGAUAACAUGUGGAAUUUGUCGACCUGCCUUCUACCUUUCUAAGAAGAGAGAGUCCUGAUGCUGGCUACCAUUUAUAGAUUUCAAGAAUUUAUAUACUAGACUAAGUGCUUUUAAUGUCUUUAUUACCAUUGUUUUUAUUAUUCACAUUCUUUUAUCAAAAACUUCUUAGAUUUCAAAGUUGUAAAAGUUAUGCCCUUUAAAUACUUUGUAAAUUUCUUGCGCUAUGAGGUAUAUUUAAUACUUUUAUAACUAUAAAUCCCUAGCAAAUGUCUCAGAUGAAAAAAUUAGCCAAAUUAAUUAUGAUUACAGUGUGGUUAUUUUAAUAAUAUUUUGUGCUAUAAAAUUUGAUUUCCCAAAUGAUUAAAUUCAAACAAUAGAAAGAAAAUCUUGUGAUAAUGUAUGAUGCUUCACGAGAGAAGGGACCAUAUGACAUAAGAGUGGAGCGACACAUAUGUAGUUAUCCGUCCAUCGAAUCACAUUAUUGCAAACAAUAAUGCUGUUUAUAUUAUAUAAACUAAUUUGUAGGGUUUAUAAUCAUGAGUUUAUACUGAGCAGAGGAUUAUAUUGUGUACUGACACAAUGAUAUUCAGUACCGUCCGCUAGUAUUUGGACGCUAUUUUUUUCAUGAGUGAAAAAAAUGUAAAAUCAUAAUAAAUAGGAUUAAAAAAAAAAUUUUUCAGAACGCUGAUAAAAUUAUGAAAAGAAUCGAAGAAUUUGCAUUUAGGUUUCCUUUAGAUGCAGAAGAAAAUGUCUAUUUUGUAUGAUUUUCGUAAUUUUUUAAUUUUUCGGAAAAUAAUUGACGUUUCUUGAAAUUCUUGGAGUCAUUUUUAUAUGUAUUUGAUGCAGAAUUUAAAUUACCUACUGGUAUUUUGAUAUAUAUUUUUUCAAGAAAUAUUUUUCAGCCAUGAAAGUAGGUUCAAAAAAUCUGAAAACAAUAUCAUGAAUAUUAAAGUGUUGAUAAUGGUUUCAUAAAAUAUGCACAAUUAAUAGAUUCACUAAAAUUUGAGAAAGCUUCUUGAUUAUUAAUUUAUUUAAUUUAAAAAAAUUUUUUUUUAUUUUUUUAUUUAUUUUUUGAUUUUUUUUUAUCCUACUUUCACGGCCUGAAAUUUUUUUUGGAAAAUAUGUAUCAAAAUACCAGUCCGUAAUUUGAAUUCUACAUUAAAUAGAACUUGAAUGGGGAAAUGGAACGGUUAAAAAUAAAGUCUAAUGUUUUCGAAGCUCUUGCCCUAAAAUUGAAAAUUUGUGGAAAUAAAGUUAUUCUGAAGGAAAGCAAAUACCCAAUUCCUUUACUUUUAAACUUAUAAGCUUGAUAAAUUGCAAAGUCUUACAGAACAUCAUACAGAUUCAGAUUCACUUGACUUGAAAACGUCGAUGCUUUAUGCCAAGCUUUAUACCACAUUAUCCAAGCCCUGAAAAAAUCAUCCGUUUAAACCACAAUUUUGUAUACAUGAUUGUACAUUAUUACCGGAAGACUUAGAUUAGUUUAAAAUGUAAUGCAAUGGUUAAAAAUCAGGUAUGUUAAAAAGAUCUUAAAAAUCUAUCACAUCACAAGAAAUUUACAUUAUGAAAUUUCAAGAGCACAAUUUAAGGUAGACUAUUUUGUAAAACGUUAACUUCUUGUUGAAAAAGUCAGGAUAAAAUGUUCAAAAAAAUAUUCUUGUAAAAUUAUAAUUUGUUUUAUUAUAAGAAA